rnacentral:snRNA from 1 species
AUCCCUUCUUGGCCUUUUGUCUAAGAUCAUGUGUAGUAUAUGUUCUUAUUGGUUUAAUAGUUAACAUACAUUAAAUGGAUUUUUAGAGCAGGGAGAAGAAGGAAUAGGAGCUUGCUCUGUCCACUCCAUGCUUCAACCUUUCAAGAAUGGGGCACCACCC